rnacentral:rRNA from 1 species
GAUGAACGCUGGCGGCGUGCUUAACACAUGCAAGUCGAACGAAGCAUCUAGAACAGAUUAUUUCGGUAUGAAGUUCUUUAUGACUGAGUGGCGGACGGGUGAGUAACGCGUGGGUAACCUGCCUUGUACUGGGGGAUAGCAGCUGGAAACGGCUGGUAAUACCGCAUAAGCGCACAAUGUUGCAUGACAUGGUGUGAAAAACUCCGGUGGUAUAAGAUGGACCCGCGUCUGAUUAGCUAGUUGGUGAGAUAACAGCCCACCAAGGCGACGAUCAGUAGCCGACCUGAGAGGGUGACCGGCCACAUUGGGACUGGGACACGGCCCAGACUCCUACGGGAGGCAGCAGUGGGGAAUAUUGCACAAUGGAGGAAACUCUGAUGCAGCGACGCCGCGUGAGUGAAGAAGUAAUUCGUUAUGUAAAGCUCUAUCAGCAGGGAAGAUAGUGACGGUACCUGACUAAGAAGCUCCGGCUAAAUACGUGCCAGCCGCCGCAGUAA